GGAGCUGAAAAGUUAAUUAAAUGAAGAAGCGAAAGAAAAAAGGAGGACGAAUCUACUUACCUCGAGGAAGGCCCCCAGCGAGUCCCAGACUCGUUGUGUAGGAUCGACGCGGACGAUCCUCUGGAUGACUUCGGGCAGUGAGCACCCAUCUACCAGCUUUUUUAUUAGAUCCCUAUCACUAAAGGGAUCAUCCCCCUGCUCCUCUUCAGAGCCGCGGGACUCUUCAGUGGCAGCCCGACGACUGCCGACCUUGCGGGCCAAGGUCUUCCUCCUCUUCCUCCUCUCACCCCCUGGCACCUCCUCAGGACGGGUCUCUGAAG
rnacentral:lncRNA from 1 species